rnacentral:rRNA from 1 species
ACACCGGCGGCCCGAGUGGUGAUCGUGAUUAUUGGGUCUAAAGGGUCCGUAGCCGGUUUGGUCAGUCCUCCGGGAAAUCUGAUAGCUCAACCAUUAGGCUUUCGGGGGAUACUGCCAGACUUGGAACCGGGAGAGGUAAGAGGUACUACAGGGGUAGGAGUGAAAUCUUGUAAUCCCUGUGGGACCACCUGUGGCGAAGGCGUCUUACCAGAACGGGUUCGACGGUGAGGGACGAAAGCUGGGGGCACGAACCGGAUUAGAUACCCGGGUAGUCCCAGCCGUAAACGAUGCUCGCUAGGUGUCAGGCAUGGCGCGACCGUGUCUGGUGCCGCAGGGAAGCCGUGAAGCGAGCCACCUGGGAAGUACGGCCGCAAGGCUGAAACUCAAAUGAAUUGACGGGG